UGGUGUUACUGAGCAUGGGCAGUACAAGCCAAGCAGAAAAUCUGUGGAGGCACGUGAUCCCGCAUGUCUGUCCCAUUCAUCUCCUCUGCGUUGGGGGAUGGAGGAAGGAGGAGAAGAAGCAUAAGGAGCUGAAGCAUUUCUACCACUGGAUUACUUCAUCAUACUCCAGUAGAGACACUGACAGUGAGAUCACACACAACACUCCUAUACUAUGCAGCAGGUGCAGUGAAAUCACUCCUAAUCUUCAGCACUUCAGUACAGGGUCAAAAACUGGUGAAGUUUGAAUACUUUAUAUUGGAGAGAUAUAGAACAACUGAAGAGUGGAAGGAGUAGUUAGGGAACCUCAGUGUUCUGAGUUUCUGAAAACUGAAGCAUUUU